AUGGCGGGGGCCAGACAAAAAACUGAAAAAGAUAUUAGAGAUGUCAAGGGGCUGGGAGUUGGAAGAAGACCUUCACAAGCGGAGGAGGUGAACCUUAAGGAUAUUUUACGUGAAAUUCAGAAACUAGCUGAACAACAAAUCGAACACCAAAAAGAAUCACAACUGAAAUUGGACAAACAAUCCCUACAACAGAGAGAAAUAUGUCAGGAAUUGCUGGAAAUGAAGAAAGAGAUUAAAGAAGAAAUUGGUCUUUUGAAAAGAGAAAUGGCAAAAACACAUCAAGAUAUUAACGAACUGAAAUCUGAAAAUCUGAAAAUUUCCAAAUCACACUUUAAGCUACAAAAGAAAGUAGAUGGACUGGAGGACAAAAAUGCUAAAAUGGAAAAGUUACAGGAAAAAAUAGAACUAAAUGAGAAAGAAUUCCAACUAAGAUUUCGAAACAUCCAAGAAGAGGCAGGGGAGAAUAUUAGGAGUAUUGUAAUAAAAUUAACUGCAGGUCUCCUCCAAAAAGAAGAAGAAUAUGUGGAAAAUGAAAUAGAUAAAGUAUAUAGAAUCCAAACUAACUUUUCUAGAAGAAAUAGGGCUACAAGGGAUACUAUUAUACACUUCGUGAGGAAGAAAGUCAGAGACCAAGUGAUGAUAAAUAAUAACAGAAACCCGAUCUAUUAUAAAGAAAAGAAAAUAAUUGUACUGAAAGAAUUUCCCCAAUCGAUUCUGAAUAGAAGAAGAAAAUAUUUUUUCCUAACAGACGAACUUAAGAGACAAAAAAUAAGAUUCAGAUGGGAGAGGAAUGAAGGUAUAAUGGUGACAUGGUAUGGUGAAAAAUACUGGCUGACCUCGGAGGAAAAAGCCAAAGAUUUCUACCAGAAGUUAUUGAAAGAGAAAAAAUAUACCCCGCAGGAGGAAUCUCCCCCCUCAUCAGUUAAAAGGAAAAAGCCAAAAAGAGCGAGACACCAAUCUCCAAAAGAAGUAAAAGAAAACAAAGGGGCAGCUCCCAUUACUACUUCAGAACCAUCGGAUGUAGGAGACGAUGAGGAGGAAGAAGAAUGUGAAAGAGAGGAUGAAGUAGACCUAACUACGGAGGAUGAAGAAAAAAUGGAAAAGGAAAGAAAACCACAGGAGGCA
rnacentral:lncRNA from 1 species